rnacentral:rRNA from 1 species
UACGAAGGGGGCUAGCGUUGCUCGGAAUUACUGGGCGUAAAGCGCACGUAGGCGGCUUGUUAAGUCAGGGGUGAAAUCCUGGAGCUCAACUCCAGAACUGCCUUUGAUACUGGCGAGCUUGAGUUCGGGAGAGGUGAGUGGAACUGCGAGUGUAGAGGUGAAAUUCGUAGAUAUUCGCAAGAACACCAGUGGCGAAGUCGGCUCACUGGCCCGAUACUGACGCUGAGGUGCGAAAGCGUGGGGAGCAAACAGG